ensembl:snRNA U6 U6 spliceosomal RNA
GUACUUGCUUCAACAGCACACAUAGUAAAAUUGGAACAAUUUACAGAGAUUUCCAUAACCCCUGUACAAGGAUGGCAUGCAGAUUCUCGAAGCAGUCCAUAUUUUU